UUUUUACGCAAACCACACCACAACAAUGCUAGCGUGUUCUGGGUGUCUGCCACUUGGACUUCAUGCACGCUUGAGCGCAUGCUGAUAGCACCACUAUUUCUGUCCUAACUGAUUUCUAUUGACACUUGAGGAUUAGUCUUACAAAGACUGAGGUAGCAGCAUUCAAAGCCAUACAUCUUUGGAGGCGUACAAGUCACGGAAUUCAGCUGAUGUGCAGAGUUUUGCUGCUUGAUCAUCCAUAAAGUUUAUAUCUAUUUUUCAAAGGAUGUGAUUCGAUCACAGAAUGUUUUGGACCCCAUUUACAUCGAAUUGUAUUACUGUCUGCUUGUGAAGGGAUCACCUGAAACUGCUGUUAACAACAGGAACGUCUGUGUCAGAGUUCAUGUAGAGGUGACGGCUCUAAUGCCAAAGUACAAUCGAAGCUGCUCCAGAAAGAUGAAAAAAUCCUCCAGUUUGUCUCUCAGCUGAUGGACAGAUUCUCUCACGGCAUCGAAAGUGUGGAGAGAGCUGAAUGGCACAACGGGGAUGUCUGUAGAUCCAGGAGCUGCCGAGAGAGACUGGAGACUCUAUAGAAAACAG